UUUGCAAAGAAGAAAAAACAGACACGACCACACACACGGGCUCGCCUCCUCUCCCUCUCGCCCACGAAGUCCUCGCCGCCGCCACCACCCAUGCCGGCCACUUCCGGCGAGCUCCGGCGACGCACAGCACGCUCCCGAGCUCCCCACGGUCCGCGCCUCCCUCCCCUCUGGACAGAUUCUCCGCUUCCGGCCUCUACCGCCCGCUCGCAACCCCACCCCCGUGGCUAGGGUUUCGGCCAAGGCUUCGCCGGCGCAUCUCCGGCGGCCCCAGAUGCAGAUGUAGCACCCCAUGGGAGUUCCCCAUCCACCACGGUGGCAGAUUCUUCAUGGAGAUGUGAUGCAAAAGAAGCACAAUGUUCAGUGAUGAUUAGGGUGAUGAUGUUUAUGCAUCUAGGGAACCAUGGAGAUUUUAACAUGUGAUAUUUCCUCAAGCAAACUAAGUUCUUUUGCAAUUUGCUGCUCAAGUUGUGGCUCUCCUGCAGGGCAAAUCUUCCCAACAAGAAGCAUAACAGAGGCCUCUCUUUCAAUGUCUGAAGAUUGGUUAUCUAAUAACUGGCCAUCAGAGGGAGAAAUUCAGCUCCAUAACCUCCAUGUAAAUACCAUCAUCUAUUUUCCCUCUUGCCCACUUCUGUUACGUAUUUACAUUUUUGUGUUGGCAUGUUCUAAAGAAGCUGCACCUUUUUUCCCCUUGUGAGUAAAUUGCCAGAAAUCUAAACUCAUGGGCAAAUGAACUGUUUGAUUCAGUGAUUUGCCAGAUCAACAACAGAAUAUUACUAAGUAGCUCAUGUCAUUAACUUUUUAAUAAUGAUGCACGUGAGAUAUACUCCAAGGUAUGCAGACAGGUAUUUUUGGUAGAAUAUGUAGUGGUAAAUCAACUCUCAUGCAUGCCCUUUUCUGUAUCAUGUGUCCUACUAUCGGUUAGAUAAUAGUAGACAUUGUCGACAUUGGCACCAUUGGGUUGUACGAUCUGAUUUCUAGAUUGGCCAUCAUCAAUGUUCGAUUGAACUGUGAGAAACAACCUUGACCCUCUAGGAGAGUACACUGACAAUCAAAUCUAGGAGGUAGUCUUGAUAUUCACAUGCUCAUUGCUUGUCAUUUCUCAAAUUACUAAACAAUCACUUAAAAAAUCUGUUUGUCUUGGCUCGAAGUAUGAAUCUGUUGCUCGUAAUUGUUUUUUAGUUCGAUAUGUCUUCACAUUCGUACAAUUCUAUGAACCUACGUGUUCCCAUUGAUACUUUGUAAAUCUUGUACUGGCUACUACGGCUUUGUGCAUUUCUCAAAUACAGAGGCCCUCCAAUCUUCUUAACUUAUCUAAUAAUGACUGAAAAUUGUUAUUCUACAUUUCAAGCAUCGGGUCACUAUCAGUUAGGAGUUGAAGUUCGGAGAAAGGGGCUAAAACAUGAUUCUCCAGCUCUGCUUUACUCGUACCAUAGAGUUCAUAUUCUGGUAGUUUUGGUGCUUCUGAAAUUGCUGAUAAAUUCCAAAUUGCCCUUGAAGUGGUAGAGAGUGGAGAGAACUGGUGUGUGGGCCAGUGUCAGCCCGUCUGUCUCAGUUGGGUGAUUCUGAGACGGACCAAGAUACUGGUUCUGCCACUGCUUCGGUGGACUUGCAACCUCUUGCAACAGAUAACCUGAUACCGGACACACCACAACAGCAUUACUCAGGGGUGAUUGGCAUGACGAUCGUGCAUCGAAUCACCUUGGUCCUUCAGAGCGAAAUACUCUAGCUUCCUGACUAUGGUGGUACAGUCUGGGGAACGAUUUUCUGUACAAGAGGAGAUCAAAAAAAGGCAUUGCUUAUUGUACAUUAGAUUCUACAGGCAGGGGACCUUCAGCUUUGUAGUACUCCUGCUGUUUCAUGAAGCUUCAGAUUAUAUUACUACAUUUUCCCUUGAUUGUAAGAAAAUCAAGCAUACACUAAUAAAAUUAAGCAUAUAAUACAUAGUAAUUUAAUCUGAAGCUUCAUCAAACACUGGCAACAAUACGUAGUCUCUCCAAGGCCUAUAUAGGUAUGUUUAUCUUGCUGUUUCAGGUUAGAAUAAUGAUUUUAAGCCAUGUAGAUAACCUUCAACUAGCAAUGCCAAUCAUAUAACCCUUGAGCAUGUGACAGAGUUUUCACCCUCACCAUGUCCAGUGACGUUGCUAGCAGGAGUAAGAUGUUUGGGUUGGCGGAGUCGGCGGCCGGUAGUAAAGCAAGGGUGUUGUGUUACAAAUUUUUCAUCAAGAAAUUCGCAUAGGAAUAUAUUUUUUCCUUCAA